ensembl:lncRNA
UGUGGAUGCAUCUCAAGAAGAUGGGUCAUUAGGCAGACUUGUCAACGACAACCACAUCAGUCCAAGUGCUAAGAUGAAAAUAUUAAAUAUCAAUGGAAAGCCCCAUCUAUGCUUAUUUGCAAGCAGAGACAUAAGUCCAGGUGAAGAAAUAGACUAUAAUUAUGGUGACUCGGAUUGGCUCUGGAGAUGCAAGAGUUUCAAAAAUGAUGGCUUGGAUUUUCACGAAGGAGGCGCACUCAUAACUUAUCGAGUGACACCAUUGACCAGCCACCUGGUGGCAUUCAGUCUAUGUCAAAUUUUCUGAUCACUUUGGAUCACUUGGAACCUUGGUGCAGUAGUUACUG